AGCGAACGCUGGCGGCAGGCCUAACACAUGCAAGUCGAACGAACUCUUCGGAGUUAGUGGCGGACGGGUGAGUAACACGUGGGAACGUGCCUUUAGGUUCGGAAUAACUCAGGGAAACUUGUGCUAAUACCGAAUGUGCCCUUCGGGGGAAAGAUUUAUCGCCUUUAGAGCGGCCCGCGUCUGAUUAGCUAGUUGGUGGGGUAAAGGCUCACCAAGGCGACGAUCAGUAGCUGGUCUGAGAGGAUGAUCAGCCACAUUGGGACUGAGACACGGCCCAAACUCCUACGGGAGGCAGCAGUGGGGAAUCUUGCGCAAUGGGCGAAAGCCUGACGCAGCCAUGCCGCGUGAAUGAUGAAGGUCUUAGGAUUGUAAAAUUCUUUCACCGGGGACGAUAAUGACGGUACCCGGAGAAGAAGCCCCGGCUAACUUCGUG
rnacentral:rRNA from 1 species